GAUUGCCUACGGGACGCAGCAGUCGAGAAUCAUUCACAACGGGGGAAACCCUAAUGGUGCGACGCCGCGUGUGGGAAGACGGUCCUCUGGAUUGUAAACCACUGUCCCCAGGGACGAAGAUGACGGUACCUGGGGAGGAAGCUCCGGCUAACUACGUGCCAGCAGCCGCGGUAAUACGUAGGGAGCGAGCGUUGUCCGGAAUUACUGGGUGUAAAGGGAGCGUAGGCGGGACUGCAAGUUGGGUGUCAAAUCUACCGGCUCAACCGGUAGCCGCACUCAAAACUGCAGUUCUUGAGUGAAG
rnacentral:rRNA from 1 species